AAAAGCUUGACGGGGUGCCAGUGAUAUCAGGCUGGGAUCGCGCAAGGUGAGCACUUUGCUGCCAAGCGCUGAUCCUGCUAAACCUGAUCCGGAUAAUGCACUGCCUGUGCAGGCACCGGAGUAGGGGGUUAA
rnacentral:ncRNA from 1 species